ensembl:lncRNA
CAUAGAACCCCAUAGGGACCCCAUAAGAACCCCAUAAGGACCUCAUAGAACCCCAUAAGACCCCAUAGAACCCCAUGGGACCCCAUGGGACCCCAUUGGACCCCAUAAAACCCCAUAAGGACCCCAUAGGACCCCAUAAAAACCCCAUAAAGACUCCUUUAAGCCCCCAUAGAGCCCCAUAGAACCCCAUAGGACCCCAUAGAGCCUCAUAAGGACCCCAUAGGCCCCCAUAAAGCCCCAUAGAACCCCAUAAGGACCCCAUAGAGCCUCAUAAGGACCACAUAGGACCCCAUAAAGACCCCAUAAGACCCCAUAGGACCCCAUAGAGCCCCAUAGGACCCCAUAGAACCCCUUUAAGCCCCCAUAGGACCCCAUAAAGCCCCAAUAAGACCCCAUAUAACCCCAUAAAGGCCCCAUAAGGACCCCAUAAGGACCCCAUAGAACCCCUUUAAGCCCCCAUAGGACCCCAUAGGGACCACAUAAGACCCCAUAAAACCCCAUGGGGACCCCAUAAAGACCCCAUAGGGACCCCAUAGGACCCCAUAGAGCCCCAUA